rnacentral:sRNA from 1 species
ACAUAGCCCCGAUGGGAACGGUAUCCUUUUUUUGCUUUGACUUAAUUUUCUUUUCGAUGACCAAUCGUCGUAGCAAAAAAAGAUAUAGUGGACAGCGGGUUGGAAU